UACGGAGGGUGCGAGCGUUGUCCGGAAUCAUUGGGCGUAAAGGGCGCGUAGGUGACGGGACAAGCGUGCGGUGAAAGCCUGGGGCUCAACCCCGGGUCGGCCGUGCGAACUGUUUUUGCUUGAGCACUGUAGAGGCAGGCGGAAUUCCGGGUGUAGCGGUGGAAUGCGCAGAUAUCAGGAGGAACACCGGUGGCGAAGGCGGGGUCUCUGGGCCGAUACUGACGCUGAGGAGCGAAAGCGUGGGGGAGCGAACAGG
rnacentral:rRNA from 1 species